rnacentral:rRNA from 1 species
GUACACGCUGUGACUAGCAUAUCAAUAAGCGGAGGAAAAGAAACUAACAAGGAUUCCCCUAGUAACGGCGAGUGAAGCGGGAAGAGCUCAAAUUUGAAAUCUUAAAGGGUUUCCCUUUACGAAUUGUAGUUUAAAGAAGUGUUUUCUGUUGAGGUUUUGGUAAAAGUUCUUUGGAAUAGGACAUCAUAGAGGGUGAGAAUCCCGUAUUUGACCUUUACUUUCAACUUUGUGAUACACUUUCAAAGAGUCGGAUUGUUUGGGAAUGCAGUCCAAAAUGGGUGGUAAAUUUCAUCUAAAGCUAAAUAUUGGCGAGAGACCGAUAGCGAACAAGUACCGUGAGGGAAAGAUGAAAAGAACUUUGAAAAGAGAGUUAAACAGUACGUGAAAUUGUCAAAAGGGAAGCGUUUGACACCAGUGUUGUUUUUCUGAAAAUCAAUUAAAGAACUGUUUAUGCUAAGUUGUUUAGACUUUAUCAGCUAACUGUUUAGUUUUGAGCUUUUUCUUUAAUGCACUUUUCAGUUAACAAGUCAACAUCAAUUUCUUUUGCUGUAAAAAAGCUUGAGGAAGGUGGCCUGAGAUUCGUCUUAAGUGUUUAUAGCCUCUUGCCUAUGCAGUCGGAGAGAUUGAGGUCUGCAGCGUAGAUCCUUCGGGGCUAAAUGCAUUUGUGCUAAGUUAUAGCAUUUCAUAGACAACUUGUUGACUAUGAUUUGUCUUGUAGCUUACUCGCUUAUGUUAUUUUACCUACGCUUAGGAUGUUGACAGCAGUAUAGACUG